rnacentral:tRNA from 2 species
GGCCUUAUCGUCUAACGGUUAGGACGAAGCCUUCUCAAGGCUUAAAUCAGAGUUCGAUUCUCUGUAAGGUCACAA